AGCUUAAUAAUUUAAACAAAAUAUUAAAUUGCAAAUUUAAAAAUAGAAACAUUUCUUUAAGCUU
rnacentral:tRNA from 1 species